AACGAACGCUGGCGGCAGGCUUAACACAUGCAAGUCGAACGCUCCGCAAGGAGAGUGGCAGACGGGUGAGUAACGCGUGGGAACCUUCCUAUUGGUUCGGAAUAGCUCAGGGAAACUUGGGGUAAUACCGGAUACGCCCUAUGGGGGAAAGAUUUAUCGCCAAUAGAUGGGCCCGCGUCUGAUUAGCUAGUUGGUGAGGUAAUGGCUCACCAAGGCGACGAUCAGUAGCUGGUUUGAGAGAAUGACCAGCCACACUGGGACUGAGACACGGCCCAGACUCCUACGGGAGGCAGCAGUGGGGAAUCUUGGACAAUGGGCGCAAGCCUGAUCCAGCCAUGCCGCGUGAGUGACGAAGGCCUUAGGGUUGUAAAGCUCUUUUAGCAGGGAAGAUAAUGACGGUACCUGCAGAAUAAGCCCCGGCUAACUUCGUGCCAGCAGCCGCGGUAAU
rnacentral:rRNA from 1 species